UGGCGAACGGGUGAGUAACGCGUGAGGAACCUGCCUCAAAGAGGGGGACAACAGUUGGAAACGACUGCUAAUACCGCAUAAGCCCACGGGUCGGCAUCGACCUGAGGGAAAAGGAGCAAUCCGCUUUGAGAUGGCCUCGCGUCCGAUUAGCUAGUUGGUGAGGUAACGGCCCACCAAGGCGACGAUCGGUAGCCGGAUGAGAGGUUGAACGGCCACAUUGGGACUGAGACACGGCCCAG
rnacentral:rRNA from 1 species